rnacentral:rRNA from 1 species
AAUAGAUACCCGGGUAGUCCACGCCGUAAACGAUGAAUGCUAGGUGUUAGGGGUUUCGAUACCCUUGGUGCCGAAGUUAACACGUUAAGCAUUCCGCCUGGGGAGUACGGCCGCAAGGCUGAAACUCAAAGGAAUUGACGGGGACCCGCACAAGCAGUGGAGUAUGUGGUUUAAUUCGAAGCAACGCGAAGAACCUUACCAGGUCUUGACAUCCCCCUGACCGGUACAGAGAUGUACCUUUCCUUCGGGACAGGGGAGACAGGUGGUGCAUGGUUGUCGUCAGCUCGUGUCGUGAGAUGUUGGGUUAAGUCCCGCAACGAGCGCAACCCUUGACUUUAGUUGCCAGCAAGUAAGGUUGGGCACUCUAGAGUGACUGCCGGUGACAAACCGGAGGAAGGUGGGGAUGACGUCAAAUCAUCAUGCCCCUUAUGACCUGGGCUACACACGUACUACAAUGGCCGGUGCAACGGGAAGCGAAGGAGCGAUCUGGAGCGAAUCCUUGAAAGCCAGUCUCAGUUCGGAUUGCAGGCUGCAACUCG